rnacentral:lncRNA from 1 species
GGAACAGAAUCACGGAGGACAGGGCCUAUGUAGGGCCCCACCCAAGCCAGGUGGAAAUUAGACUCCGCCAAGAUUCUGAGAGGUGCAUUGUGUCCUAAGCAGGAGAGUGGCUGGAUCUUUCCUGCCCUCUCUUCUCCAACCCCACCGGCAGGCCAGGAGCUUAUGGGCCAGUAUAGCUAGCUGUCUUGUGUCCCAGGCUACAGAGAACAGGGGAAGCAGGGUGUGGUGGCACCUGAUUAUAAGCCUAGCUUUAGGGUGGAGGGUCUUAGAGGAGACAGUUGUGCCAGCCUGGGCGGCAUGUGCCUGUAAGCUUAGCAUUAGGAGGGUGAGGCAGGGGGUUGGGGAUUUAGCUCAGUGGUAGAGCACUUGCCUAGCAAGCGCAAGGCCCUGGGUGGUUCGGUCCUCAGCUCCAAAAAAAAAAAAAAAA